rnacentral:misc_RNA from 1 species
CGGUCGGCAGGCGAUCCGCGUCGGUCGUGCGAGGGUGGUAUGGUUCCCCCAGAGGCCGGUUCUUGUGCUGCCUACCCCUUCAGGGGAAUCGGGCCACUUGAUGUAAGCCUCCAUCCGGCGCCUUCCAACGGGCGCAGGAGGACAACAGGGCACCCCCCGCGUUCCACCGAUCCUCUUCGGUCGCGUGGCCCGCGGGGACGUGCGACGCUCUCGGACCCAGCGAACGCCGUGGGCGAGGACUCACGUCCCAGUCCCGAAAAGAAGCUCCGAUNUANNGCAAGACGGCCGCUCCCGCCCCCCCGGGGGCGAGGCGCGGCGUCGCAGAGGAAUGCUA